rnacentral:rRNA from 1 species
UAUGUAGGUGGCCCUGUAAGUCGGAUGUGAAAUCCUUUGGCUCAACCAAAGAACUGCAUUCGAUACUGCUUGGCUUGAGUUUCGGAGAGGAGAGUGGAAUUCCCAGUGUAAGAGUGAAAUCUGUAGAUAUUGGGAGGAACACCAGUGGCGAAAGCGACUCUCUGGCCGUAAACUGACACUGAAAUACGAAAGUUAGAGGAGCAAACAGGAUUAGAUACCCUGGUAGUCC